rnacentral:rRNA from 1 species
UACGGGGGGGGCAAGCGUUAUUCGGAAUCACUGGGCUUAAAGGGCGCGUAGGCGGGUCUGCAAGUCCGGGGUGAAAUCCCACGGCCCAACCGUGGAAGUGCCUUGGAUACUGGAGACCUCGAGGGGGAUAGGGGCGUGCGGAACUCAGGGUGGAGCGGUGAAAUGCGUAGAUAUCCUGAGGAACACCGGUGGCGAAAGCGGCGCGCUGGAUCCCUUCUGACGCUGAGGCGCGAAAGCCAGGGGAGCAAACGGG